AACGAACGCUGGCGGCAGGCUUAACACAUGCAAGUCGAGCGCCCCGCCAGGGGAGCGGCCGCCGGGUGAGUAACGCGUGGGAACGUACCUUUUGGUUCGGAACAACUCCGGGAAACUGGAGCUAAUACCGGAUAAGCCCUAACGGGGAAAGAUUUAUCGCCGAAAGAUCGGCCCGCGUCUGAUUAGCUAGUUGGUGAGGUAACGGCUCACCAAGGCGACGAUCAGUAGCUGGUCUGAGAGGAUGAUCAGCCACACUGGGACUGAGACACGGCCCAGACUCCUACGGGAGGCAGCAGUGGGGAAUAUAGGACAAUGGGCGCAAGCCUGAUCCAGCCAUGCCGCGUGAGUGAUGAAGGCCUUAGGGUUGUAAAGCUCUUUUGUCCGGGAAGAUAAUGACUGUACCGGAAGAAUAAGCCCCGGCUAACUUCGUG
rnacentral:rRNA from 1 species